UUAGUCCUAGGUCCUAGGACCUAGGACCAAAAUAAGGAUGGAAUAGGAUUGCACUUAAGACCGUUUCAAUAAACAAUCUUAUCUUUAGUCACAGACUUAGUCCUAACUUUUGACUUAGGACCAAAUUGUACUCUCGAAUUGAAGUUAAAAAAUAUAGCGCACGCGCUGUUUGCCGCAAUAUGUCAUUCGUCUGCGACAAAAUAAGGGAAGCGCCGCAGGAAAGCUACAGAACAGAUCGGACUCUGAAUACCUUGUUCUUACAGAGGCUGUAAAGAUCUUUCUCCCAGUAAGAAGGAAAAACAUGCUCCUUUUGUUACCAAUAGCGCUUAAUGGAGUGUCUGGGAGUCGGUGGUUGAUCGGUAACUUUUGACAUUUCUGUGUUAAUUUUUCUUUCGUAUAGACUUUAGUCAUAUUUAACAAGGGAAGCAACUAGAUUUUGAAAAAAGCGGAAAUAUUUUUAUGAUGUUCAAUUCCGGAGGAAAAUCAGAUUUAAUUAAGAGUUGGCUGCAUGAUGUGUCAGUCAUGUAACCGGCAUAUUCAUCUAUGUGCAGAAGUGAUGGCUGGAUACAGAAUUAUUUAUUAGUUGGACAACAGUGAAUACAGGUCACAGCAUGCUGAUAGAGAUCCUCAGCUCAUAUGGUAGCCAGGGUUUAGCAGUGAGCUGACUCAAAAGAUGCCAUUUAGUGAUUUAAUGUGGAUAAUCCAUUCAGAUCAUUCACCAAUGAUGUACAACACUGAUGGAACUGAAGGCAAUACUUGCACUGACAGUCAGGGCUGGUUAUUUAAAGUAUAUAUAAUUAGAUGUACCUCCUGAUGUACCUCCUUAAAUACGAGAUUUCUGCCAUGUGAAAGGAGCAAGUUGAAAGAAGCACUGUUGGAGAUGGGGUCCAUGAACCUUAUGUAUACAGCUAUAUGAACAAGGGCUGGAACAAAGCAGACAAGACUGGACUUUUAAUUGUUAAUGAAUAUUUUAAGUUGUAUUGUAUGUCACCAGUAUAAUAGGGUUAUUAUAAAAGUAGUUAGAUCUUGGAUGUGGUAUUUGGCUUGGAGUGCAUUUUGCCAGACCUGGAACACACGAGGCCUGCAAGCGCAAAGUCUGACCCGCUGUGGUAAAAUCGCCAAAGGCCUAAUACAACCUCCCAGAUCAAGCUACUGUUAUAAUCGUACUUUAAUUUUUUAUCUCCAUGUACUAAAAAUCAUUUCACAAAAAUACCCUAGCGUUACAGGCGAUAUAUUAAAUUUGGUACGCCUUUAAAGUUUAAAUUGAUGUUGUUGUUCUUGUUUAUACACAAUUGAUUACCGUGCCUUGUUUACAUGUGGGAUUUAUUGUUUGAAAAUGAAAUAAAAAUGUUUAAAAUGAAUAAGAAAAUGUCAUUAUCAAAAGCUUGCACUUUUAUGUUAAGGGAGUAGUGACAGGAAAUUUUCCAUUUUUUGUAGCUCAACCUGAUCACAAAGUGCUCAGGGGUGAGUAAUUGUUGUCACUCAUUGCAUGUCUAUCCGCCCGUCCAUACUUUUCUUAACCUACAUCUCUUAAAUCAUUUGGUGGCAGGCAGAUGAUGAAACUUGGCUUGGAUGUCCUCUGGAUAUUCCUGCCUUUCCCUAGGGAAAAACCUUGUCUAAAGUACUGUAACUAUUAUGACGUCAUAAACUAUAUAAAUUUUGUCAGGAAAACACAGAUCUAUUUGCCUCCAUGAUCUAAUUUUAACGUGAUGAGCAAGAAAAAUUAUCUAACAUGUCUGCAUGUGUAAGACAGCUGUUUCCCUAUCCUCGGGACAGCUCGGAUAAUGCUUGGUUUUUCAUUCCACACUAUCCCUCGUGGUAUAGAAAAACCUGUCUUACAUCGGCAGGCAUGUAAGAUCCUUAUAGUCUUGUUAUGCAUAUUAUUGGUAUGCUCAGCUUCAGUGCUUUUCAGUGAAGUUCUAUUGAUUUGUUAUAUUUUAUCUUGUUUAUACUACUUGCUGUAAACAAUUAGGCUGAAUUUCACCAAAUCUCGCAAGUGAUUAGUGUGGAGCAAAGUUGUGCAUAUUAUCUUCAUGUUCUAAUAAAUAAUUUUUAUCAGAGUCAUGACCCUUGAUUUGUCAGAAUCUUUGAUCUGUGCUACUUCUCCUAUAUCACACUAAGGGUUAAAAUGGCAUUUUUAGACAUUUUUUGUUUUUAUUAGCUCACCAGAGCCAAAGGCUCAGGGUGAGCUAUUAGGAUCACUCACCGUCCGUCAUCCGUUGUCCGUAAACUUUUACUUCAAACGACAUCUCCUCAUUAACCGCUAGGCAAAUUUCAUCCAAACUUCACAGGAAUGUUCUUUGAGUGAAGCUCUACAAAAAUUGUUCAAAGAAUUGAAUUCCAUGCAGAACUCUGAUUGCCAUGGCAACCGAAAGGAAAAACUUUAAAAAUCUUCUUCUCAAAAACCAGAAGCCCUAGAGCUUAGAUAUUUGGUGUGAAGCAUUGCCUAGUGGACCUCUACCAAGUUUGUUCAAAUCAUGACCCCAGGUCAAAAUAGACCCCGCCCCAGGGGUCACUUGAUUUUACAUAGAAAAAUCUUAAAAAAAUCUUCUUCUCGAAAACCAGAAGCCCUACAGCUUAGAUAUUUAACAUGUAGCAUUGCCUAGUGGAUCUCUACUAAAGUUGUUCAAAUCAUGACCCCGGGGUCAAAAUUGCCCCUGCCCCAGGGGUCACUUGAUUUUACAUAGAUUUCUAUAGGAAAAUCUUCAAAAAAAUUUCAAAUAAGUCUGAUUCUUCAAAAACAUUGCUGCCAGGGGGCGUGGUAACUUUUUCCUUCAUGUAUACGGUACUUGUCCAAAUUAUUGCCUUAAGGUAAAAAAAUGGCCACGCCCCUGUGUCUGACAUGUACUUAUUAUAGGCUUUUAUAUUAGAAACUUUGAAAAAUCUUUUUCUCUGAAUCAAUAAUAGCUAGAGCCUUCAUAUUUGGAGUGUGUAAUAUCAGUUUUGUAAUGUCUACUGCAAUUGUUCAGAUUAUUGCCCUAGGUUCAAAAGUGUGUUUGACAUGUGUAUAAUAUAGGCUUGCACAGAGGAAACCUAACUCUGAUUUAUACAAACACACUUGUACAAAGGUGAGCGCUUUAGGGUCAAUGACUCUUGUUAUUUAUUAAAGAUUAUUGUCAUAAAAACAAGCUGAAAUUUAUUAACUUCUAGCCCCAGUUUCACAAAAACUUUAUUAAUUGCUUAGCUAUGUCUGUUAUUUUAGAUGCAUGUUUUUGCCCUUUAUGUGUCUUCAAUGUUGACUUUCUUAGCUCACCUGAGCCAAAGGCUCAGGGUGAACUAUUGUGAUCGCUCACCAUCCGGCGUCUGUCCACACUUUCCUUUAAACAACAUCUCAUCCUAAACCACCAGGCCAAUUUUGAUGAAACUUCACAGGGAUGUUCCUUAAAUGGUCUUCUUCUUUAAUAACUGAAUUUUAUACAGAACUCUGGUUGCCAUGGCAACUGAAAGGAAACACUUUAAAAAUCUUCUUGUCAAAAACCACAGGGCCAAGGACUUUGAUAUUUGGUAUGUAGCAUCAUAUAGUGGUCCUCUACAAAGAUUAAUCAAAUUAUCCCCCUAGGGUCAACUGUGGCCUCGUCCCUGGGGUCACAUGGUUUAUAAAGACUUAUAUAGGAAAAAACUUUAAAAAUCUUCUUGUCUGAAACCACAAGACCUAGGCCUUUGAUAUUUGGUAUGUAGCAUUGCCUUGUGGUCCUCUAUUAAGAUUGUUCAAAUUAUGCCCCUAGGGUGAAAAGAGGCCCAGCCCCGGGUACCAAGUUUUACACAGACUUAUGUAGGAAAAACUUUAAAAAUCUUUUUGUCUGAAACUGCAAGGCCUAGGCUUUUGAUAUUUGUUAGCAUUGCAUUGCCUAGUGUCCUUUACCAUGAUUAUUCAAAUUAUGCCCCUGAAGUGAAAAGAGGCCCCGUCCAGGGUGUCUCAUGUUUUACAAAGACUUAAAAAGGAGAAAACUUGAAAAUCUUCUUGCCUGAAAAUGCAAGGCCUAGGCUUUUAAACAUUCAUUUUUUAGCUCCACUAUUCAGAGAAAAGGGGGGCUAUUCUACUUGCCCCGUUGUCGCGUGAGCUUUCUUGGUUAAUGUUUUUCGGCAACCUUUAUUUUUCUGUCAUAUCUUUGUUACUAUAAUAUAUCUUACUGUAACUUCACAUAAACAUUGUCCUGCAUACAGACAAAGUGUGUGCAGGGGCUGGGCCCAUUAUACAUAAGGUCAAGGUCACCAAGGUGUUAUACUUGGGUUAUUUUUAAGGUUAAAGUUUUUCGGCAACCUUUGUUUUUUCUGUCAUAUCUUUGUUACUAAUGCUUAUAUCUUACUAUAACUUCACAUUAACACUGAAGAAUGUGCAGGGGCUGGGCCCAUUAUACCCAAGGUCAAGGUCACCAAGGUGUUAUACUUGGGCUAUUUUUAAGGUUAAAGUUUUUCUGCAACCUUUGCUUUUCUGUCAUAUCUUUGUUAAUCCCUGCCACAAGUGAUGGGGGGUUAUAGGAAUGGUCUCCAUCCGUCCUUCAGUCUGUUCGUUUGUUUUGUUUGUUUGUUUUGGGUUUAAUGCCGUUUUUCAACAGUAUUUCAGUCAUGUAAGUUAGGCAGUUAACCUAACCAGUAUUCCUGGAUUCUAUACCAGUACAAACCUGUUCUCCGCAAGUAACUGUUUGCCCCGUCUGUUCGUGUUUGCUCCAUAUCUUCUAAACCCCUUGAAGGAUUUUCAUGAAACUUGGGUCAAAUGAUCACCUCAUCAAGACGAUGUGCAGACCCCAUGAGUCAGCCUUGUUGGCUCAAGGUCAAAACUCAAGGUCAAAGGUUUGAGCCUUCCAUUUUGUGUCCACUCUGUAUCUCAUAAACCCCUUGAAAGAUUUUCAUCAAACUAGGGUCAAAUGAUCACCUCAUCAAGAACUCAUGAGUCAGCCAUGUCAACUUAAGGUCAAGGUCACAACUGAAGGUCAAAGGUUUGAGCUCUGUAUCUCCUAAACCCCUUGAAGGAUUUUCAUGAAACUUGGAUCAAAUGAUCACCUCAUCAAGAUGUUGUGCAGAAUUCAUGAGUCAGCCAUGUCAGUUCAAGGUCAGGUCACAGCUAAAGGUCAAAGGUUUACCCUUUCACUAUCCAUAAGUGACGGGGGAUUUAGCUGUCUUUCAGACUGCCUUUUUACUAUUGCUUAUAUCUCACUGUAAGUUCACAUAAACAUUGUCCAGCACACAAACAAAGUAUGUGCAGAGGCUGGGCCCAUUAAACCCAAGGUCAAGGUCACAAAGUUGUUAUACCUGGAAUUAUUUUCAUGUUAAAAUUUUUCGAAAGCUUUGUUUAUAGACAUAUCUUUGGUACUUUAAAAGAUAAUGACUUGAAAUUAAAAACAUUUCUGUAUAAUCAUCAUCUGCAUGUGUGUUUACAAUCCCCAUAACUCUUAUUGUAUUUUUGACAGAAUUAUGCCCCUUUCAAACUUAAUGUUUUUUGGCAAUCUUCGCUUUCUGGAUAUAACUAGUACAAUUUAAGAUAAAGACUUGAAACUUAAAAUGUAUUGGUACCUCUAAUUUUUAGGUGUAUUUUGACAUAUCUGUACCUUGAAAGAAUUUUUUCUUUUUGUUUUUGGUUAAAGCAGUGGUACUCGGGUGAGCAAUAUAGAGCCAUCAUGGCC